UAAAUAAAAACAGCUAGCUUGCUCUGAAAAAUGCCCACUAUGUAAAGCUGCUUGCCUUUGCUUAUCAGUAACUGCCAGAAUAAGCUUCUGUAAAGUUGCUUGCCCUGCAUCCCCUCACCCUCUUGGUCCUAAAACCAGGAUGUGGUUCUUCAGCUUAAAAACCCUGCUUUCCCCAAGCUCGGGGCCACGGGUUGGAGAGAUGUGAGUCCUCCGUGGCUGCCAGCAAUAAAGACCCUACAAUUUGGCAUACUUUUGUCUUGGUGUUAAUUUUUUAUACUCAAUCUGAUAUUGCAUUUUGGAGGCUCCAGCGAGAUUUUAUUUAUAUUCCUCCAUCACCUAGACAAAAGCCCUUAGAACUUCGCCCGGGCAGCCACUCCUGCCUUGGGGAUCUCUGGGGGAGGCGCCCCCUACUGAUGUUCCAGGGCUCCAGAGUUUGGCCCCGUGACGGACAAGCGACUGCUCAGCCGACAUUCACCCCAAAUUCCUUCAGGGUCCUGGAAACCUCCAGAGCAAGCCAGAGGAGCCCAUACAUGACUGCCAACAGACAAUGAAUGUCCUCCACGCUGCUCAACUGGACCUCACUGACGUCCCCCUGCAGAACCCAGAGGUGGCACUGUAUAUGGACGGCAAUAAUUUCAUGGUCAAUGGAGUCAGGUAUGCCAGGGCAGCUGUAGUCACCCUAGAGCAGGUUAUAUGGGCCCAGGCUCUUCCACAUAAAACCUUGGCCCAAAAGGCAAAACUCAUAGCUCUAACAAAGGCCUUGGACUGGGCGGAGGGAAAAACUGUUAACAUCUACACGUAUAGCCGGUAUGCCUUUGCUAUGGCUCAUGUACAUGGAGCCAUUUAU